rnacentral:lncRNA from 1 species
GAGCUCACCUGUGACCGCCCAGCUCCAGACAAUCGACUUGCCUCCAGCUACGCCCUCUGAGACAGCAGACCACUACCUGCUGUGUCCAUCAAGCACUGUGCCGACAGGGCAAUCUUGUGACUAUUGUGGGAGGGACAUUUCAAUCACAUGUGAAACACCCCGUUUGGGGGUAUAUAACCACUCUGGCACCCCACUUCUUGGGUGCCCUUUCUUCCUUCUGGAAGAAAGGCCCCGGGCCAUGGUUCCUCAUAAAGCUUUGUUUAAUUUUCUCUUGCUAUUCUGUCUCAUGUGAAUUUAAUUCGUUCUCCAGCCAGACGAACCCCUAUUUGGGGAGAGGAAAUGUCCUCCUCCCCUACAGUUUUGGCGUAGUUGGCAGGCUGAAAUUUCCCUGGCUGGACACUGCUUGCUCCUAGACUGCUGCGGCUGAGAGAUCCCAGACCCCUGACGAGAGCCGGCAAGAGAUCUCAGAAGUGCUCCAGACACCCGUGGGAAACUCCAAAAGUUGGCGAUCCGUCCUGCUACCAGUCCCGCACAGCUACGAGUGGCUGCACGGAGGGUGCUCCAUAACCGACUUGAAGCUGAGGAUGCAAAGGAAGACAAGAUGAUGAAAAGGCAGGCCGCCCUGCUCGCUGUGGCCCGCCAGUCUCCUCAAGGUUGGAUGACUACCGCAGCAUGGCUUUUGCAGAUCGGUGCCAUGUCCACACCCGGGUUCCGAACCGGUGAACCCCAGGCUGCCAAGAAGCAGAAUGGGCAAACUUAACUGCUGCACCACCCAGCGGGCCCCCCCUAACCACUUUCUCUGUGCUUUAUUUUCACUCCUGCCUUGACUGGUGCUGUCCAAUAGUAGCAUUAACACUCUAUAACAUGAAAUCAAAACUUUCUAGUGGC